UUACAUGUGAAAGCAACAACAAAGAUAUCUAGUUGAAUUCGUGCCGGAGAGUAUGCGAAUACCUCAUUAAAAUUUCAGUAGUCGCUUGCUGAGUGCUACCAAGUUUUGCUUUACUCAUUUUAGAACCAUUUUACUAUUGUGAACGGCUCAAAGAAGAAAUUACUGUCAAAAUAAUAAAAAUUGUUAUACACAAAUUUGAAAUUGAAAAGGGCAGGCGAAGAUAAAUCAAAACGUUAGACAUAGACGGUGGUUGAAGAGUUCAGUGCGACCAAGUAUAUACAAUUCGAUUUCAAGGCUGCCAGUUUGUAUGGAGAUUUGGAAAGUUUGUUCGAUUGGCUUGUCUAUAGCAGUUAGCCAAUCGAUGACAGCUAAUACUAAGUAGCGUUCCCUUUAUUGGCUAUAACUGCGGCAUAUCGCCAAUGCAUUGAAUUAGCUGUUUUAGAGGUGAAUUUUGAUUUUUUCAGGACGUCUUACGUAUUGACGAGAUCCCCUUGUACGGGGCCAAUCGAAGUGAUCAUUUGCAAACUUCAGCUAUUGGGCCACAUGUUUUUUCAUAACAAUGAUACUUUUCUUGGGCUAUAAGUUGCCACGACGGCCACGUGUUUCAGGAUUCGGUUUCUAUUUUAAGGCUUUUUGAAUCAUCGUCGGUGAAAUUAAAUUUUCAACGUUUUGCCUUUUGAAAUAAGUUUUUUUAUAAAAUCGCCCUGAUAAGCUGUGCAGUGUAUACCUCGUCCCAUUGGUGACAAAAUUUAAAUCGGAGUUUUAAAAAAUUAUAAAAAAAAUACAUCAAAACACUCAAUACAGUACUUUUCGCUUAAUUGCACAUCGAAAUUUCAAGAAU